CGUCAUGCGCUUCUGCGGAAGUGGACGACACUCUCAUUGGCUGCGGGUCGUCUGUCUGUAGGAGCGGGCCUUUUGGAGGAGACCGGAAGUGGAGCGAAAGAGAGGUGACCAGAAAUGGAAAGAAAAGUAAGCAGAAUUUGUUUUGCUUCUGAACCAGAUAUAAUUCAUUUUCUACAAAUUGCUUGGGAGAGAACGCUAGCAGCUGGUUUUGUUAUUACACUUACUGAUGGUCAGUCAGCAUGGACCGGAACAGUUUCCGAAUCAGAGAUUUCUCAAGAAGCUGAUGACAUGGCAAUGGAAAAAGAGAAAUAUGUUGAUGAACUGAGGAAAGUAUUGAUAUCAGGAGGAGGACCAGCUGAUGCAUACAAGUUUGAUUUUUCUAAAGAGUCUUGUCAUUUCUCCUUUGAGAAAAACCUGAAAGAUGUUUCAUUUAGACUUGGUUCCUUCAAUCUAGAGAAAGUUGCAAGUCCAGCUGAGGUCAUUAGGAAACUUAUUUGUGAUUGCCUGGACACCAUUGCAGAAAACCAAGCCAAAAAUGAGCACCUGCAGAAGGAAAAUGAAAGGCUUCUGAGAGAUUGGAAUGAUAUUCAAGGACGAUUUGAAAAAUGUGUGAGUGCUAAGGAAGCUUUGGAGACUGAUCUUUAUAAGCGAUUUAUUCUAGUGCUGAAUGAGAAGAAAGCAAAGAUCAGAAGCUUGCAUAAAUUGUUAAAUGAAGUUCAAGAACCAGAAAGGAACAUUGAGCGUGAAAGGGAAGCCACAACAUGUUCUGAAAUGACCGCUGAUAGAGAUGCAGUCUACGAUGAAAGUACUGAUGAAGAAAGUGAGAACCUGCCUGAUCCCUCUGUGUUAGCUCCAGCUACUUCUAGAGAUGAUUCCAUCAUUUCAAGUCCUGAUGUCACUGAUAUUGCACCAAGUAGAAAGAGGAGGCAGCGGAUGCAAAAAAAUCUUGGAACGGAACCUAAAAUGGCUUCUCAGGUGACUCAGCCUCAAGAAAAGGAAAAGCUUGAUCCUCCACAACCUGAAAAGUUGAAAAAGGAGCACAGCUCAACUGAAAACAUGUCUUUAGAAACUCUAAGAAACAGUAGUUCAGAAGACCUCUUUGAUGAGAUUUAACUGUCUCAAAAGAGCUACCAUUCCAUUCUUGGCCCAUAAUUCACAAACUAGAGAAAUGUGCCCAUCAAGAACAAACUCACUACUAGUUGCGCUCAGAAAUGUUACCCCAGAGUGCCAAGGACAUGGCUGCCAAAAAGAAUUAAUCCCAUACCUACCCCAUUCAUGAUGACCUCGGAAACAGGAGAAGCAAACGUUUCUUACUGUUAACCAGAAGCAUUUCCCCCAAAUGACUGCAAAUAGCACAAAUGUCUGUUCCAUUGAUAGAUAAUUCCAGUGACACUUUUUUUUUUUUUUUUUUUUUUUCAGCCAAGUAGAGAUAGCGUCACAGCAGGAUAAAGUGGGCUGGAGUCACUAACUUUGACGUUCCAAUCCUGGAUCUCCCACUGCCUAACUCUCUUCUCUCAAGCCAGCCACUUAACCUCUCUUUUGAAGUCAGCUUCCUCACAAAUGAGACCAGCUCACGUGUACUUCUUGUCUAAGCACCAGAUAAGGCAGAUAAUGUACAGAGGCAGUAGCCACAGCUUAAUCCACAAUGUAAAAGUGCUUUCCGGAAGGGCUUUUCCCCCACCCCAGGAUUUCUUAAAUUACUAAACUUCAUAUGCUGUCCACCAGUGUCAAAGGCAACAGCCAAAUAAAAGGCCCGUCCUUGUACUAAAGACCAGGCCUUUCCCUGGUUAUGGACUUAUUUUAAUCAUGAACCUUGAUAUACUUGUAGAAAAAGUUGACUUGUUUUUCUUCAUAUCUCCCUGUUGGUGGAUAUCGUUUAAUGGGAAAUUUUUCAGUUUUUUAUAUGCUUUUAGUUGUAUUUUGCAUGUAUGUAUUUUUAGUUUUUUAGUUUUCUGAUUUUCCAGGUAUCUACAGAAGACUCAAAAUAUCCACCUUACUUUCCAGAGAAAUAGUUUUUAUAAAACAGAGAUGCCAUUUGUUAUCCAUAAAACAUGCUCUUUUUUUGACAUCUCCUGUAAUAUAGAGAAGACAUAUUCGUGUAUUUACUUGGGCUGAGAAAAGAUAGCAAAAUUUAGUCUUGGAUAUGUAUAGAUAACACUGUUAUCUAUUGCCUCCACCAUUACCAAAGAACUGGGUUCAGUUAGAAUAGGUAUUUGCUGAACAGUGAGGAAUACUAAGAGAUAUCUUGUGUGGGCAAAUUAGUUUGUAUACUUGACCCAAGCAGUUAGCACAGAGCAAAAGGGACCCAGUUUUCUGGAACCCUGUAUCAUAUAUUGUUGACUCCUGCUAGUUAUUUCUUCUAUGCAGACUCUCAUGAACUAAAAAAAGCAAAUUGACUUCCAAAAGUUAACCUAUGCAUGAAUAAAAUCACAACAUACACAGAAUGUUUUAGUCCUUCUGAAUUCUUUGAUGUUCCAUCUCUAAUAAGGAACUAACUAGAUUAAAUUUAAAUUCUUCAGAUAUGAAGUAAAACAUGUAUUCAAUAUGUUUUACAACUUUUGAGACUGUAGAGAUAAAUGAUUAUUUUGUAAAGUGGCUUUUGAACCUUACCUUGAUUCUGAGGGUUCAAAGGAACAAAUUAUGGUUGAGAAGACUGAUAAGAACCAAUAUGUGUUGAAGAUUGAAAAGCCUCAGGGACAUUUUUUUGUGUCUGAUUUGACCAAAUCUGUUGACCAUUUUAGCUUUUCAUCCAUCUCAUUAGAAAUAGUUUUCAACAGGGGCACCUGGGUGGCUCAGUCAGUUAAGCAUCCAACUUCAGCUCAGGUCAUGAUCUUGGGGUUUGUGGGUUCGAGCCCCGCAUCAGGCUAUGUGCUGACAGCUCAGAGCCUGGAGCCUGCUUCACAUUUCGUGUCUCCUCCUCUCUCUGCCCCUCCCAUGCUCAUGCUCUGUCUCUCAAUAAGAAACAAACGUUAAAAAGAAAUAAAAAAAAAAUAGUUUUCAACAAAGAUAAGCAUUACGCAAAUUACAAGUGGUGUAUUAUGUGCGUGAUUAGGUUUUCCAUUUUUCUUUCUUUGAAGCUUUAAAAAAAAAUCUUUUGGUGGUUAUUAUAAUGGAAGUCCACUUUCAUACUGGAUUUCCUUCAUUUCUCUUUAACCAUGAUUCUGAGCUGAAUCUCCACCAAGGGGGAAGUAGCAUUGGUGCUAAUCCCAACUUGGCAGAAUUAUUGGGUUCCACCCCAACAGUCACCAAAACAUUUGGGUUUAGUCAGAAUACCAAUUCAUCACUUCAUAAAACCAAAGCUCUUCUCCAUCCCACAGUAACCUGUUCAUAGACCGUAGGGAGAGUGAGAGAGAUGUGAAUAGACUCACUGAAUAAUAGGGCCUGGCCCUCUCAGACGUCAAAAGAGAUCUGAGAACCUUCCAUUUCUUAAGGCUCCUGGAGUAUUAAAACAAGAAGAGAAGAGGAAAAACGCCAGAACAGCAUAGAAAUAAAGUGUAGCACAUUUUAAGUGCUUAAAAUCAUGCUUUAAACACAUGAAAUAUAAAAUAACCUUUCUGGAAGACAAGAUCAAAUGGCCAGAUUUGAGGCUGUUUGUGAUUAUAACAGCCCUAGCUAAAUGGUUUUACUAAAGACACCUAGCUCACAAUCAUCAUAGCUCCUGCUCAGGGCUGAAUGGAAGUUCCAGGAUCAUUUAGCCUCAUUUGAUAGAUAUAGAUUAAAAAAACUGAGGCCAAAGAGUGCAAAUUAUGUGCUUUAGAGUGCAGUCAAUUAGUUGGUGAAAAAGCAGAUCUCUGUAUACUCUCUGUGCAAAUGGAAGGCACAGAGGAGGUCUUGAGUGGGCGAAAUGACUACUAGCAGUUGAUAAGGUGAUGAGUAUCAAAAGCAAUAUUGCAGGGAAAGUAAUUGUUGGGCAAAGCCACCAUAAAAUGGACUGAGUCAUGGCCAGAUGUGGCCAGAUGUGGCUAAUCAAGACUCCUGAUUGACAUUUCUGCAUGAUUUCAGUGAGGGCUGCAUUUAUGACACUACUUCAUAAGGCGAAAUUGGAGAUUCCUUAUUUCCAAUAUCCUUAUUCUGUGGUUAGUUCUCUAGUUGGAAAUCUGUGUGAGAUCCUCAUGGAGACGGGUGUUAACUUCUCCCAUUGAAUUUCUAAGCUAGGAAGCUGGGACUCUUAGGAGUCGAUUUUGACUCAGUCUUUUGUGAGACACUCUCAUCUUUGAGUCAUGCUUUAAUAAUUUGGAUCUCAGCAAUGACUUUAUUUAUCUUGGGGAAUUUUACUUUUCUGGACAACCAGAAUAAUUCCUCUUUUAGAUAUCAGAAGCAGACACUGGAAAAGCUGCUUUCUGUGUCGUUUUCAUACUGUUAGGAUUCUGGGCUCCUUAGUAACUUGGCCAACUGUCUUGAAUCAAAUGUUAGGCGAGUGCUAUUGGCUCUAUCUCCUCAUAGAUCAUUUCCAGCUGUUAGAACAACACAAAUAUGAAAUCUUCUGAGCCAGGAAAACUUGAAGUUUUCAUUAGAUCCCCAUACAAAGAUUAGAUGCAAUGAUUAAAAAGAAGUAUCAAUCCCCUGUGUUUGGAGGGUGCUGGGGUAUGGAUAGCAUCACACUGUUAGUGGAAAUAUAAUUUGUUAGAAACAUUCCAGUAGGCAAUUUGACAAUAUGUAUCAAAAGCCUCAAAAUGUAUAUAUUCUCCAAUUCAAGAUGGCAGACUGACCACAUGCAUUGGCCUCUCAUUACUUCCAAAACCUUAUUUACUGAAUUAAAAGUAUAGAAAGGUAGAAUAAAAUCUCCCUUAUACCUGUAUCUCUCAAGUUCAGUAAGGAAAAUGGAACCAAUUAGCUCAAUAGAGAGAGCUCAAUGUAGGCACCUAUUUCUGAAAGGGUAGGAACAUCUAAAAAGCCAGAUGGAUUUGCAACAUCAGGGGCUACUGCCUCCAGUGGACUGGAGGGACCAAAGAAAAAAUUAGUAUUGCUAGAGCUCAAGGCCCUUCAUGGUGAGAGGUUGAACCAUGAGAACGGGGCUGCCUAGAGUCAGGAGGUGUUGGACAAAAAAGAAGAAACCACUUCUAGAGAUGCUUCCAACGGCAGAGAAGGGAGAAAUAUAUUGCCUUCUUCCUUCUUCUCUCUCCAAUGUCCUACCAGUGCUUCCCACUGGCUGAACCUCCAUGGAAGCCAGUUGGCAUGGAAAUGUCAUUUACAGGAGCUGGUCACUGCUCUGUGAUCGAGAACAGAGCAGGGAAAUGUUGAGUAAUGACUAAAAGUAAAAAAGCAACUGCCUGGAACAACAGACAAGAGAGAAUGGGAAGUGUGUAUGUCACUAAAGAUUGAGCUAUUUAAUAAAUUACUGGGAUACAAAAAGUAGAUGAGAGCCAUUAGAAGAAAAGGGCAGAGCAAUUGCCAGCCUAGAAUACACUUUGACAGCUCUGUAAAGGAAGAAAGCUAAUCUGCCCUGUGGAACCCCUGACAUGCCUUCGGUAUAGAGUCAGCAGACACAACAGAGGGGAGAGUGAAAGAUGGAGCUAAACAGAGAGAGAUUCCUCAAAGGUCUGAGUGUAUCCAGAAUUCUUCAGUCAGCACCCUAUCUCCAACAUACAUAAACACAGUAAGCAGGCAGUUGGCAUUAUACUCCCAGUCAAAAUAUAUGGUGACUCCUUUCUAAAGUAAUUGGGCAAACUGGGAAAAGAUAACAUUUCUACAUUUGCUGAUGCCUCAGAGGGAAGCCAUUAUCAUUUCGGCACUGUGCAGGCACUCAGCCUGGGAGCCAGUUACCACUCCCAUUGCUCCUCAGUUUACUGGCCCACACUGCCUGGCGCAACCCAGGAAGCAAUUUCAGAAGAAGGGGAGAGGCCUGCUAGGAGAACAGUCUUCUGCCACUACAAAAGCAGAAUAUCUAUUCCAUCUACCCAGGCCUGCUUUCUUAAUAACACAGAGAAGCCACUAGAAUAUGAGGAGAACUAGCAGUAUAAAAAGAAAAGUACGAAAUUCUAAAAAACAAACAAAUAAACAAACAAACAAAAAACAAUCUUUGAGGAAGUUGAAAUGAUUCAGGGAACAAAAAAAUCAUCCUUAGAAAUAUUUGCAAAAAGGUUCAAGAAAAUACUACCUCUAUAAAACAAAUAGGAGAAUGAGAGAAUGAGAAAGCACUCUUAGAGAUUUAAAAUAUAAUUGCCAAAAUAAAAAAUUUAGUAGAAAUACUAAAAAACAACAAAAUCAAAGAAAUCUCUCCGAACAUUAAUCAAAGAGCAAAAGAUGGAAAAUAUGAGAAUGAACUCAGAGGACCUAUAUUCAACUAAUAAAAACCUCAGAAAGAGAGAAAGAGGCAAAGUGUUUAAAUUAUUCAACCAGAUAGUAAAAAGAUACGUGCCAGAGCUAAAGAAGGGUAAGACUCUUUGGUUUACAAUGGCUCACCGAGUGUCCAACCCAAUGAAUGGAAGCAGACCCCCCACCUGGACACAUUGUAUGGGAAGUAUCAGAACAACAUAAUUAAAAAGAAAACCUUACAAGCCUCUAGGAAGAAAAAAAGCCACAAUUCACAAAGGAGAGAGACUCAGACUGAUACAUUUAAAGUUCUGAGGUAAAACUUUUUACCCAGAAUUUUCUAUAUUUGAAAUAUAUAUAUUUGAAACUGCAUUUCAAAAAUACAAGGACUUAGUACAUUUAUCACCUAUGUGUCAUCUCUCAUGAAGCUACUUGAGUGUCCUCAGCAUAGAAGAUCAGUAACCAAGGAAGGCAGGAACAGUAGUUCUGACCCAGGAAAGGGAUAAAGGGAUGUUCUAGGUUGCCACAGGCCUCAGAGCCACCGGCCCUGAGGAGAAUGAGACAGUACACCCCAGGGGGAGACUUCAGGGACAGUCUGUGCCUUACGGAAUAACUAAUAUGGCUUAGAAUGUGGAAAAAAUAAAGGGCAAAUAGCAAAAGGGAUGGGAGUAGGAAGUAAUAAAAAUUCCAGAGGAAAGGUUAUACUACACACUCUUGAUCAAAAUGUGACAAAAACUAAUGCCUUGAUUUUAAGGAAUCCAUAGA